UGUAUUUUUCUAGUGGACGUGUCAGGGCUCAGAGAUGUGACAGAGAAUACCGGGCCUGAAGAUCUCUUUCAGGAGCCUCCGGGACUCCAGUAGCCCUGUGGUACUGGCAACCUCGGUCUGGUGUGGUCAUCCCUGACAGGCUCGGUGAGAGGAUAAAGUGUCAUGAUGCGGUGGAAAGCUUUUCACUUUUUAGUGACAUAUCAAUAACAACUCUUCGGUUCAGCUGUGCACAAGAGAAAGGGCCUUGGAUGGCGUGAUGGCACAUGCUUAUGAUCCCAAUGCUCAGAAGGACAGCUGCAGGAUUGAGGCUAUCAUGGGCUAUAGAGGCUAUCACGGGCUAUGGGACUGUUUUCUAAGUAAACCUCGGGGGCAGCAGAUCCAUGACAAGAAUACAAGCAGCAUUAGGCCAACCACGACAGGAGUUGGGGCAGGUUUAAUUUUGAACCUAGCCUGGGAAUGCUCUGGCUUGGGGUGAAUCGUUUUCAUGUUACUCUGGAGUAUUAAAGUAGUUCUUUAUUUUUUAUUUAUGUAUGUCUGUGUGAGUGUGUGCCAUUUGUAUGUAUGUGUGUGUGUAUGUGUGUGUGUGAGAGAGAGAGAGACAGAGACAGAGAGACAGAGACAAGGAAAGGUGUUCGUGAAGAUGCCUGUGGUAACCAAAAGAAGACAUCAUGUUCCCCUGGAGCUGGAGUUUCAGCAGGCCACAGGGAGCCCUGGUGACCUUCUAACAUGUGGUGACUGCAAACCCUCAUUGACAUAGUGCUGUGACAUCACUGAAGCGCUUCCUGAGGAGCUGAAAGGACCAAGCAGAACCCACAGGAGCAUCUAGCCCAAGGCAACUGUGUUGCCAACUUUCAGUUGUGGCAGCACGUGUCUGAGAUAAACAGCUGAAAACAAGGAGAGUUUCCGAUGGGUUCCUAGUUCUGAAGUUUCAGUUCGUGAUCUGUCGGUUUCGUUGGUUCGGGUCUGUAAUGGACGCUCCGGAGGGAGCACGAGGCACAAGAGGUCUGUUCGUUUCCUGGUGGCCAGCAAGCAAAGACAGCAACCGCAGGCGCUGAAGUCCCAGUGUUCCCUUCCAGGGUGCAACCUCUUGGUCUCACUCUCAGCAGCGUCAAGCCUUUAAAACAUGUGCCUUUGGGAGACACUGAAGAUCCAAACCAUAACUGUCAGAGAGGCGAUGAGGCCCCCGACCCGACAGCCGGGGCUUCUCUGCGCGUGUCCAACUUUCCCUCAGCCUGUGGCUGACCUGAUCACUGAUCUUCCAGGCAGAAUUUAGUCCAUCAAGAAUAAGACAUGCCCAGAGCUACAUAAUUAGAGAAAGCAGGCUCACCUCCACUGAGGAAGAGGCCAGCAGUUUGUGCUUGUUGGGAGCUGUCUUCUAGUCGCUUAACCGCAGCGGUGGAUCCAACUCGGCAAGCGAGAUUCCUAGUGAGAGCCAACUGCGAGUGUUUAGCCUUGGCUGCUCAGACUGUGUGUGGAAAAGCAUUUCCUGACCUGGAGUGGAAAAGAGCUAUGAUCAGCUAGUAAUGGCAGCCAUCAAAGAGGCCGGGCGUGGUGUAGGGAGAGCUGUGGACUUGGCCGUUGGGGUUUCUGUGCACUUUGGUCCUGGCCCUGGCUUUUGAGAAUCUUCUCUUUCUGCUAUGACCCACACUUCCCACAGCAGCUGCCCAGGAAGGCUCACUCUGAAGACUCCACCGGCUCCUAUUCCUGGAAGCGAUUUCUCCUCCUCGUUUGAUGUGAGGUUUAGCACGUAAGUGGUCAUAGUGGCAUUUUACCUUGUGACUGAGUGUGGCCUCAGAAACCCAGCCAGCCUGUGGGCUGGAUGCUUUUCUGGCUCUGAAUGCUUCCAUUCUGGCUAAACCUACAAGUCAUAUCGCCAGCAGGCUGUCAGUUUGUUAAAAAACACGGUACAGGAAGGUACAACUUUGCACAUACUCACUGUUGUCUUUCUCCAAAACAUUCCAUUCUCUUAAGUUCCAGGGAGCCCUGUGGACAGACUUACACACGGGUGUUAGUCUAGGGAUAAAGGGACCACAGGUGAUGUCAGCACUGUAGAUCAAAAGCACAAUUAACAGGAGCCUUGAAACCAAGACAACUGGAGAAGCUGUGAGUCUGGGCGGAUCACCUCCUUGGGUAGUGGUCUCAGCAGGGUGCUACCAUUGUCUGAGAUUCGGAUAACUGUGAGAGCUUAUGUCUAUCGUCAGGAUCCUUGUCUGUCUGUCUGUCCUUACCUGUCCACAUCCAUCCAGCCUGGUCUCUUUUUGAUGGUCCUGGUCUUUUGUUUGUUUGUUUGUUUGCAUUGAGGUGUUGAAAAUACCAAUGGUAAGUUUUUACAUUCGAGACUUUUUUGUUGAUGGUGUUCCAAAUUCAUCUUAUGGAAAUAGCAAGAGAACUCUAACCAGUCUCUCUACACCUAGAAGGGCUUCACCCACAACUGGAAUGUACUCAACACCUCCUCUUCCCAUUAGAAAGUGAUAAAACCCCCUCUGCAGCCUGAGGCUUCUGGCUAUGUGACUGUGACCUUAUGUAAAGGUCAGGGGACACAUUUGUAGAGUUUUCUCCCUCUUUCCAUCUUCACUUGUGUUCAGGGGAUCAAACUGGGGUGUCACAGCCAUCUUCGCAGCCUGACCCCAUGAGUCUAUGUUUAUUUUGUGUCAGAUGACACUCCUGUGUCUUUCGAUGGGUCUGAUCUCUCAGCUGGCAGAGAAUUCUGCUUCCUACUGAUCACCAUUAAAGGCAGCUGUGGUCUCGCUGAACUCUGUGUUUUUUCCUCAAGUUGUUACAUUGUAGCUACACAGUUGUCUAAAUGGAAUGAAAACCCAAGUGUGAAUUUUUAGCUGCUCGGGUAAAAGACCCUGAACUUUUAACCAAAGAAUUGCUGGGGCUAGGAAACACAACAUGAAAGGCAGGCGCCCUCCCU
rnacentral:lncRNA from 1 species